rnacentral:rRNA from 1 species
UACAGAGGGGGCAAGCGUUGUUCGGAAUUAUUGGGCGUAAAGAGCUCGUAGGCGGCUUGUCGCGUCGGCUGUGAAAACCUGGGGCUCAACCCCCGGGCGUGCAGUGGAUACGGGCCGGCUGGAGGCAGGCAGGGGAGAAUGGAAUUCCCGGUGUAGCGGUGAAAUGCGCAGAUAUCGGGAGGAACACCGGUGGCGAAGGCGGUUCUCUGGGCCUGUACUGACGCUGAGGAGCGAAAGCGUGGGGAGCGAACAGG